ACGCUGGCGGCAGGCCUAACACAUGCAAGUCGAGCGGUAGAGAGAAGCUUGCUUCUCUUGAGAGCGGCGGACGGGUGAGUAAUGCCUAGGAAUCUGCCUGGUAGUGGGGGAUAACGUUCGGAAACGGACGCUAAUACCGCAUACGUCCUACGGGAGAAAGCAGGGGACCUUCGGGCCCUUGCGCUAUCAGAUGAGCCUAGGUCGGAUUAGCUAGUUGGCGAGGUAAUGGCUCACCAAGGCAACGAUCCGUAACUGGUCUGAGAGGAUGAUCAGUCACACUGGGACUGAGACACGGUCCAGACUCCUACGGGAGGCAGCAGUGGGGAAUAUUGGACAAUGGGCGAAAGCCUGAUCCAGCCAUGCCGCGUGUGUGAAGAAGGUCUUCGGAUUGUAAAGCACUUUAAGUUGGGAGGAAGGGCAUUAACCUAAUACGUUAGUGUUUUGACGUUACCGACAGAAUAAGCACCGGCUAACUCUGUGCCAGCAGCCGCGGUAAUACAGAGGGUGCAAGCGUUAAUCGGAAUUACUGGGCGUAAAGCGCGCGUAGGUGGUUUGUUAAGUUGGAUGUGAAAUCCCCGGGCUCAACCUGGGAACUGCAUUCAAAACUGACUGACUAGAGUAUGGUAGAGGGUGGUGGAAUUCCAUGUGUAGCGGUGAAAUGCGUAGAUAUAUGGAGGAACACCGGUGGCGAAAGCGGCUCUCUGGCCUGUAACUGACACUGAGGCUCGAAAGCGUGGGGAGCAAAC
rnacentral:rRNA from 1 species